rnacentral:rRNA from 1 species
UGUGCACGCUUGUUGUCUUUUUAUUUCUCCAACUGUGCACAAAUUGUAGACCUUCUCUCUGGAGGACUAUGUUGUUUUUCACAAUCUCUGAAUGUAAUAGAAAUCUGGGGAAUAUACAAUACAACUUUCAGCAACGGAUCUCUUGGCUCUCGCAUCGAUGAAGAACGCAGCGAAAUGCGAUAAGUAAUGUGAAUUGCAGAAUUCAGUGAAUCAUCGAAUCUUUGAACGCAUCUUGCGCUCCUUGGUACUCCGAGGAGCAUGCCUGUUUGAGUGUCAUUUAAACCUUCUCAACUGCUCCAAUUUGGUGUGGCUUGGAAAUGGGGGGAUUGUGCAGGCUUUUCAAAAGUCUGCUCCCCUGAAAUGUAUCAGCGGCGUCUGAGCAGGACUACCACAGGUGUGAUAACUGUCAAUGCCUUGGUAUACAUGCUGCGCUGUCUUUAAAUGUGACCCAUUGUUGACCAACUUGACCUCAAAUCAGGUAGGAUUACCCGCUGAACUUAAGCAUAUCAAUAAGCGGAG